rnacentral:rRNA from 1 species
GGGGGGGGCAAGCGUUGUUCGGAAUUACUGGGCGUAAAGGGUGCGUAGGCGGCUCUCUAAGUCGGAUGUGAAAACUCUGGGCUCAACCCAGAGCCUGCAUCUGAAACUGGAGGGCUAGGGUUUUGGAGGGGAAAGCGGAAUUCCAGGUGUAGCGGUGAAAUGCGUAGAUAUCUGGAGGAACACCGGUGGCGAAGGCGGCUUUCUGGACAAAUACCGACGCUGAGGCACGAAAGCUAGGGGAGCAAACAGGAUUAGAUACCCUGGUAGUCCUAGCCCUAAACUAUGGAUACUUGCUGUGGGGGGGAUUGAAGCCCCUUGUGGCGAAGCUAACGCAUUAAGUAUCCCGCCUGGGGAGUACGGUCGCAAGGCUGAA